UGCAAGGCUGAUCCAACUGACCAGCGCCCGGGGAAGGGGGGGGACGUAGCCCGCUGGGGAAAGAGGUGGGGGACAGGCCUCCUCCCCCCCGGACUCGGAGCUGCGUGCUGCGGCUCCCCCCGGCAAGACAAACGCCUCUGUGAAUCCUGUGAAGAUCUUGGCAUCAGCAACUUCCCGUGACAGUCGUUUCACUGGUUCUGAAUUCAUCACCUGCACUGCCAUUGACUGUCCCCCGUCCUAAGGGUAGGAGCUGGGGGAACAGAGUAUCCUGAUCCCCUGCAGUCGAUCACAGACCUGCUUAUUGGAGAUGAGUUCCCUGAGCACCCUUCACCCUGCUGAGCAAGCUCCACUAAUUAGGUGCCUGGACCCUGGAGAAGACACACAUGUAAGAAAUGCCCAGAAAUUUUGGAAGUGAUUGGGUGCAAUGUUCAAAAGUGACCCUGUAACAGACAGACAUGGAAAUACCACCAAGUCACGCAUCAGGUCUUCGCAAGCUCGGCCAAUGAGUAAAAGCAAACCGGGAGGGUGCCACGUUGGGGCAUCCAGCGAUAGAGCCUGAUUUCAGACCGCCUGACACUGCAUGUAAUAAUCCCUCGUGGAAAGGAAGAGGCAAGUUCAACUGUGUUAUUCCAGGCUCCUGCACAAACCUCUAACCCAGAAACCAACAGCAUUUAAUAUAGAAUCAGCCUUUGUUAUGCAAAUAAGCUUCUAUUACAUAAUUACAGCCCCAAGGCAGUCCCAGCCAGGUGGGUCUGGAAACCAAUUUUCUGUUUAUCUGUUUGGAAAAACAAACCCUGAAGUCAUUUUGCCAAUGUCACUGCGCACCGUGACGGCAUCACCCUGAACCUGGCUCGCACUGCUACGCAGGGUUACCCUGGGUCAGCGUUUGAAUGGGAGACACACUCAGGGAGUGGGUCGCUGUUCCCGGGCAGUCAGUGUUGGUUCGGAUGCUCCAGCGAGGUGGCUCCGGAGGGGGUGCUCUCCUGUCUCAGUCAGUGCUGACCCCAGUGUGGCAGUAGGGGGUGGAGGGAAGGGCACUCUCUGUCACAGUGCAGGGCAAUUGCAACUGGAUGUCCUGGCCGUUUCCAUUCUGAAUGGAGACCCACCUCGCUCCCCUCUGAGCAGGAGAUUCCCAGGGUGCACAGCUCCCUGCCUUCACCCCAUUCCCCCACAAAGCCAGCUGCCUAGCACACCUGCUUGCUUUCCCUUCAGAGCUGGGUAGCACAGGGAUUCCUACAGUGCUACCCAGCUCUUUGUAAGCAGCCAACAUUCAGCUUAAGGUAAAAGCAUUACCGAAAAAAUCCAAAGCGCGUACACGCCUGCUAAUGAGCUGAGCAGGACCCCCACCCUACGAGGCCUCUGGCAGGAGCAGUGCGUGUGGCUACCAGCUCAGAAAGCUCCCAGUCUUAUGGGGCCUCAGGUGGCCCAGUCCUUCCAACCUUUCCCAAAGCACUGGGGCCCCCCACGUGGAGCAGGGUCCCCUCUAUCUGCUGGACCACGAAGACGCAUUGGGGGGAGGAGCAGAUCUCCCAAACAGCAGCAGCACCACAGUCUGGCUUUUCUUGAGAUUUCAUAAGUCACCCCCCUCACAGCCAGCAUGAAGUCUCAGUGCCCCCGCAAUCCAGCAUGAAGUCUCAGUGCCCCCGCAAUCCAGCAUGAGGUCUCAGCGUCCCCCCCAAUCCAGCAUGAAGUCUCAGUGCCCCCGCAAUCCAGCAUGAGGUCUCAGCAUCCCCCUCAAUCCAGCAUGAGGUC